GAAUUCAACUCCUACGGGAGGCAGCAGUGGGGAAUAUUGGACAAUGGGCGAAAGCCUGAUCCAGCAAUGCCGCGUGAGUGAUGAAGGCCUUAGGGUUGUAAAGCUCUUUUACCCGAGAUGAUAAUGACAGUAUCGGGAGAAUAAGCUCCGGCUAACUCCGUGCCAGCAGCCGCGGUAAUACGGAGGGAGCUAGCGUUGUUCGGAAUUACUGGGCGUAAAGCGCACGUAGGCGGCGAUUUAAGUCAGAGGUGAAAGCCCGGGGCUCAACCCCGGAACUGCCUUUGAGACUGGAUUGCUAGAAUCUUAGAGAGGCGAGUGGAAUUCCGAGUGUAGAGGUGAAAUUCGUAGAUAUUCGGAAGAACACCAGUGGCGAAGGCGGCUCGCUGGACAAGUAUUGACGCUGAGGUGCGAAAGCGUGGGGAGCAAACAGGAUUAGAUACCCGUGUAGUCCAGGCGUU
rnacentral:rRNA from 1 species